UAGGAUGUGGUAUAAAGGGAGCACAAAGGGUUUUGAGUUCUUUGGUAUAGGUUCGAGUCCUAUUGUCCUAG
rfam:Sarcophilus harrisii ctg7180002454259, whole genome shotgun sequence.